UAUGCAAUGAAAGUGGAGUGGGAC
rnacentral:siRNA from 1 species